rnacentral:rRNA from 1 species
UACGUAGGGUGCAAGCGUUAAUCGGAAUUACUGGGCGUAAAGCGUGCGCAGGCGGUUGUGCAAGACAGAUGUGAAAUCCCCGGGCUUAACCUGGGAAUUGCAUUUGUGACUGCACGGCUAGAGUGUGUCAGAGGGGGGUAGAAUUCCACGUGUAGCAGUGAAAUGCGUAGAUAUGUGGAGGAAUACCGAUGGCGAAGGCAGCCCCCUGGGAUAACACUGACGCUCAUGCACGAAAGCGUGGGGGAGCAAACAGG